rnacentral:rRNA from 1 species
AGAGUUUGAUCAUGGCUCAGAGCGAACGCUGGCGGCAGGCUUAACACAUGCAAGUCGAGCGGGCGUAGCAAUACGUCAGCGGCAGACGGGUGAGUAACGCGUGGGAACGUACCUUUUGGUUCGGAACAACCCAGGGAAACUUGGGCUAAUACCGGAUAAGCCCUUACGGGGAAAGAUUUAUCGCCGAAAGAUCGGCCCGCGUCUGAUUAGCUAGUUGGUGAGGUAACGGCUCACCAAGGCGACGAUCAGUAGCUGGUCUGAGAGGAUGAUCAGCCACAUUGGGACUGAGACACGGCCCAAACUCCUACGGGAGGCAGCAGUGGGGAAUAUUGGACAAUGGGCGCAAGCCUGAUCCAGCCAUGCCGCGUGAGUGAUGAAGGCCCUAGGGUUGUAAAGCUCUUUUGUGCGGGAAGAUAAUGACGGUACCGCAAGAAUAAGCCCCGGCUAACUUCGUGCCAGCAGCCGCGGUAAUACGAAGGGGGCUAGCGUUGCUCGGAAUCACUGGGCGUAAAGGGUGCGUAGGCGGGUCUUUAAGUCAGGGGUGAAAUCCUGGAGCUCAACUCCAGAACUGCCUUUGAUACUGAAGAUCUUGAGUUCGGGAGAGGUGAGUGGAACUGCGAGUGUAGAGGUGAAAUUCGUAGAUAUUCGCAAGAACACCAGUGGCGAAGGCGGCUCACUGGCCCGAUACUGACGCUGAGGCACGAAAGCGUGGGGAGCAAACAGGAUUAGAUACCCCUGUAGUCC